rnacentral:lncRNA from 1 species
AACACAAUGUUCAACACCCACAAGUUAAGGGAGGAAAGGUUUAUUUAUCUUAGUUAGUAGAGGUUUCAUUUCAUAGGCUGCUGGCUGCAAGGCAGGGUGGCAUGGCAGAGGGAUAUCACAGAGGAGAAACAGUUCUUGGCAGGCAGAAGACACCAAAAGCAAGCAACCAACCAACUGUGAAUGAAAAGUAAGAAAGAUUAUUACCCAAAAGCAAAGAGCAUGUGAUACUACUACUUUCCUCCAAGGUACUUCAGUUCCCUGGGAAAUAGAUCAUGGGGACCCCGCUGCAGACAGGCAGGUCUGUGCACACCCUACCGAGGUCCUGAGUCGCACGGAAGAUGCCAAAUCACCCUGCUGCAGACAGGCAGCCACCUGGUUCCACACUACAAAGAUGCAGAGGACACCAGACCACCAGACCAAGGUACUGAGUCCCACUGCUCCCAGCCCAGAGGUAGGGGCUUCUGAGCCACUGUCCCACUGCUCCUGGUCCAGAGGAAGGGGUUUCCCAGUCACCAUCCCUCCUGCUGCUCCCAGCCCACAGAAAAGGGGUUUUGGGUCACCAUCCCUGCCACUGCUCCC